rnacentral:rRNA from 1 species
GCCUACGGGGCGCAGCAGUGAGGAAUAUUGGUCAAUGGGCGGGAGCCUGAACCAGCCAAGCCGCGUGAAGGAAGAAGGCGCCAGGCGUCGUAAACUUCUUUUGUCGGGGAACAAAGGGCGCCACGCGUGGCGUUGUGAGUGUAGCCGAAGAAAAAGCAUCGGCUAACUCCGUGCCAGCAGCCGCGGUAAUACGGAGGAUGCGGGCGUUAUCCGGAAUGAUUGGGCGUAAAGGGUGCGUAGGCGGCCUGCUAAGUCUGGAGUGAAAGGUACCGGCUCAACCGGUACAGGCUCUGGAAACUGGCGGG